UACGUAGGGGGCAAGCGUUGUCCGGAUUUAUUGGGCGUAAAGAGCGUGUAGGCGGUUAGGUAGGUCCGUUGUGAAAACUCGAGGCUCAACCUCGAGACGCCGAUGGAAACCAUCUGACUAGAGUCCGGAAGAGGAGAGUGGAAUUCCUGGUGUAGCGGUGAAGUGCGCAGAUAUCAGGAAGAACACCCGUGGCUAAGGCGGCUCUCUAGUACGUGACUGACGCUGAGACGCGAAAGCGUGGGGAGCGAACAGG
rnacentral:rRNA from 1 species